rnacentral:rRNA from 1 species
GACGUAGGGCGCGAGCGUUGUCCGGAUUUAUUGGGUUUAAAGGGUGCGUAGGUGGUCUAUUAAGUCAGUGCUGAAAUAUCCCGGCUUAACCGGGAGGGUGGCAUUGAUACUGAUGGACUUGAGUAAAGUUGAGGUGGGCGGAAUUGACGGUGUAGCGGUGAAAUGCUUAGAUAUCGUCAAGAACACCUAUUGCGAAGGCAGCUCACUAAGCUUUAACUGACACUGAGGCACGAAAGUGUGGGGAUCAAACAGG